rnacentral:lncRNA from 1 species
CAGUUUCAUUGACUUAAUCUGACCUCUAGGUGGCAGCAGCUCUAAUCUCUCCAAAGAGAAGAAAAGAGCUGUAUGUUGAGAGAGAGAGAGAGAGAGAGAGAGAGAGAGAGAGAGAGAGAGAGAUUAACAUCACUGAACCUCAGUUCUUGACCAGGUAAAAGUAGAGGCCAACAUUCCAUGUCACGGCUACAGAGGCGUGAAAUGAACACCGUCUAGGGAAUACGGAGGGACAGACAACACGUGUUUAGUGUCACAUAUUUGUCACCUACUCAUUACAACUCACUCAGAAUUAAUUGGGAUUUUGAGGUUGUUGUCCUGGGCUUGAACUUAAUAUUUUCUUCAUACCUGUUAUUUAAUUCCGCAGAAGAUACUGCUGCUUCUGCCAGAAGUUCAGCAGAUGAGUGAGAGAGAACAAAGACUGGCUGGAGCUCCAGUUCUGCUAUGUCAUUGCUAUGUGACCCUUCUGAGCUCCCAUUUCCUUAGCCUGAGUCAUUUAUGUGCAUUUAAAGCUAUCUUUGGAUGCAGCCCUGCUAAAGCACAAGGUAGUCUGAUGAUGAAGUACUUCACCCAUUUGCACUUGUUUAGAAGAAUACCCUCCACUUCUCCGCAGUGUACUUCUCAAGUAAAGCAAGUUGGAUAUUGGCUCCUACGUUGCCCUUUGUGUACAAUUUCUUUUGACUCUUAAUCAUCCUGGCAGCAAGUGUGUUCAACAUGAACUGGACCACACAUGGUGUCUUUGCAUAUUCUGUGCAUAUUCUGUCUCCAAGGAUUUGGAAAAAUCUCAAAGUCAGUGCUAGAAAAAGAAACGUAGUAAAACAAGAUUGGGGAAAUAAAAAAGUCAGUUACUUAGGAAAAUAUGCCCAAUUAUAAUAUAAUCUGCACAGUACGUACCAUAAGUAUUUUAGAAAUAAUGCAAUGUUGUCUGUAGGGAGAGAUGAAUGUUGCAACUAAAUAGUUUCUGAAGAGCAAACAUAAAUAAAUGUACUGACUCUUAAGACCUUGGCAUAGAGCGUACAAUAAUGAGUUGUUUUGACAAGUCCAAAAAAUGUUUCUGUCUCUCCUCUUUCCUAUGAUUUGGCAACUUCUUUACCUCAUAUUGAUUUGUUCCUCAUUUCCCUUGCAACAAAAUUUACCUUCUUGUAAACAUAUCAUCUGAUAUUCUUUCCACAAAGACUAUUUCUAGAGCCUCUACCUUCUUCCUAAAUGAUUUACUACUUUUUCGUUCCUUUUAUUAUUCCUCCCUCCACUGAAAAACCAAAACCAAACCCAAAAAUUUAACCAGCACAGAAUAGAAUAUUACAUUUUUCCAAACUAUCCAGACGAUGAAGACAAUGAUGGGUGUAGAGUUCUGUGUGGAUGGCUGUCUCAGCCUUACAAGAUGGAUAGUAAUGGGUCUCCUUUCAACCUCAAGCCUCUGUCUCUAAAACAAUCUCCAAGUCCAUCCUUGUAACAGAAUUGCUAAUAACUGCUCUUCCUGCAUCUCCAUGUCACAGUGGGUUGACCUACUUCUUCCCCUCCCUGACUUUUCUCAUGUGUUCCACUACUGCUGAGAGACAGGAGACAAGGUAUACUUCCAAGGGGGAGAUGCUCAAUUCAGCCAACAGAAUUAUGAGAAACAAGGCCCCUGUCACUUCCUUUUUAACAUUUAAAUUCUGUCUAAUGUUUCUGACUGGUGGUUCCAUUUCUUUUCAAGUACUAAGUUAUUUCUCAAAGACAAAUUUUAGAUUACAUUGUUCUCAUCGUCUUCACCAACGUAAGUAUUCCUCAGAUGUGCAUGGUGCUGUUUGAAUAAAACAUUUGUUUCUUCAGGAAAAAUGUAUGUCUUCCCUGUGGAUUGAAAAACAAGGUACCAUAUCCCCUUCUGCAUUUCCUCUCCUCUGGGUAGAGGGAGGGGAUCAUAUUCCCUAUUGGUAAACUGUGAUUUUUGAGAAGUUAAAACUGAAUUGAACAACUUUUUCUGGAUUAUUCUCAGGGCUUACCCUAUAUUAAAUGAGCUGGAUUUUGAGUUUUAGAAGGUCAGCUCAGCACAUUACUUUUAUUUUCAUGUCUUUAAAACUUGUAAAUGAGUCUGCCACAAGGGCAGCCCAGGUGGCUCAGUGGUUUAGCACCACCUUCAGCCCAGGGCGGGAUCCUGGAGACCCAGGAUCAAAUCCCACGUCAG